rnacentral:rRNA from 1 species
UACGGAGGGUGCGAGCGUUGUCCGGAAUCACUGGGCGUAAAGGGCGCGUAGGUGGCGCGGGAAGUCAACGGUGAAAGUUCGGGGCUCAACCCUGAAUUCGGCCGUGCGAUACUCCCGGGCUCCGGAGCACUGUAGAGGCAGAUGGAAUUCCGGGUGUAGCGGUGGAAUGCGUAGAGAUCCGGAAGAACACCGGUGGCGAAGGCGGGUCUCUGGGCAAUACUUGACGCUGAGGAGCGAAAGCGUGGGGAGCGAACAGG